rnacentral:rRNA from 1 species
CCUACGGGAGGCUGCAGUGAGGAAUAUUGGUCAAUGGACGAGAGUCUGAACCAGCCAAGUAGCGUGUAGGAUGACUGCCCUAUGGGUUGUAAACUUCUUUUAUAUGGGAAUAAAACGUUCCACGUGUGGGAUUUUGUAUGUACCAUAUGAAUAAGGAUCGGCUAACUCCGUGCCAGCAGCCGCGGUAAUACGGAGGAUCCGAGCGUUAUCCGGAUUUAUUGGGUUUAAAGGGAGCGUAGGUGGAUUGUUAAGUCAGUUGUGAAAGUUUGCGGCUCAACCGUAACAUUGCAGUUGAAACUGGCAGUCUUGAGUACAGUAGAGGUGGGCGGAAUUCGUGGUGUAGCGGUGAAAUGCUUAGAUAUCACGAAGAACUCCGAUUGCGAAGGCAGUUCACUGGACUACAACUGACACUGAGGCUCGAAAGUGUGGGUAUCAAACAGGAUUAGAUACCCUUGUAGUC